CGGGAAGUCCCCCGUCCGCGGAGGCUCCGGGGGGUGAGCGCUGAGGAGCUGGAGCUGCUGCUGUUGCCUGUGCUCCUGCUGCUGGAGCAGCUCAUCCUGCAUGUUCUGGUGAUGCGCAGCAGCUGCCGCCGAGGGGAACAGAGAGGGCGGCGGCGACCCACCGGACACGCCGCCGCUGCCGGAGGAACCGGUUACAGCGGGUGAGAAGGGACCGGAGGAGGAGGAACAAGAGGCGGCCGCCGCUGCCUGGCAAGGGAAGGGCUCGGCCGUGCCAGCACCUCCUACACUCGACGGUGGGUUAGGGUAGGAGGUCACCGUCUGUGGGAGCCCGGGGCUGCGAUCGCCCAUGCACUGGAGAGAUCUCCCCUGGCGAACCCCUGCCCCGGGAGUCUGAAGAGACAAAGAUAACUAUCAGUGAUUUGGGGGAGCGGGGCUUUCAACACCAGCCUACCGCAAACCCCUAUAUAACCCACGGAAUAGCCACUCUCUGGAAUAAAGCCCUCCUUUUUGCCGUGAGUCCGCUGCACUGGUUUUAACAGUGCCGGAGUUUUUGGAUAAUAAACAGUUCUAUUUUUA